rnacentral:rRNA from 1 species
GACGAACGCGGCGGCGUGCCUAAUACAUGCAAGUAGGACGCACAGUUUAUACCGUAGCUUGCUACACCAUAGACUGUGAGUUGCGAACGGGUGAGUAACGCGUAGGUAACCUACCUAUUAGAGGGGGAUAACUAUUGGAAACGAUAGCUAAUACCGCAUAACAGUAUGUAACACAUGUUAGAUGCUUGAAAGAUGCAAUUGCAUCGCUAGUAGAUGGACCUGCGUUGUAUUAGCUAGUAGGUAGGGUAAAGGCCUACCUAGGCAACGAUACAUAGCCGACCUGAGAGGGUGAUCGGCCACACUGGGACUGAGACACGGCCCAGACUCCUACGGGAGGCAGCAGUAGGGAAUCUUCGGCAAUGGGGGGAACCCUGACCGAGCAACGCCGCGUGAGUGAAGAAGGUUUUCGGAUCGUAAAGCUCUGUUGUUAAGGAAGAACGAGUGUGAGAAUGGAAAGUUCAUGCUGUGACGGUACUUAACCAGAAAGGGACGGCUAACUACGUGCCAGCAGCCGCGGUAAUACGUAGGUCCCGAGCGUUGUCCGGAUUUAUUGGGCGUAAAGCGAGCGCAGGCGGUUAGAAAAGUCUGAAGUGAAAGGCAGUGGCUCAACCAUUGUAGGCUUUGGAAACUGUUUAACUUGAGUGCAGAAGGGGAGAGUGGAAUUCCAUGUGUAGCGGUGAAAUGCGUAGAUAUAUGGAGGAACACCGGUGGCGAAAGCGGCUCUCUGGUCUGUAACUGACGCUGAGGCUCGAAAGCGUGGGGAGCGAACAGG